UACAGAGGUCUCGAGCGUUGUUCGGAUUCAUUGGGCGUAAAGGGUGCGUAGGCGGCGGGGUAAGUCUGAUGUGAAAUUCCAGGGCUCAACCUUGGGACUGCAUUGGAUACUGCCUUGCUAGAGAACUGGAGAGGAGACUGGAAUUUACGGUGUAGCAGUGAAAUGCGUAGAGAUCGUAAGGAAGACCAGUGGCGAAGGCGAGUCUCUGGACAGAUUCUGACGCUGAGGCACGAAGGCCAGGGGAGCAAACGGG
rnacentral:rRNA from 1 species